rnacentral:rRNA from 1 species
AUUGAACGCUGGCGGCAGGCCUAACACAUGCAAGUCGAACGAGUGGCGGACGGGUGAGUAAUGUCUGGGCAACUGCCUGAUGGAGGGGGAUAACUACUGGAAACGGUAGCUAAUACCGCAUACCAUCGGAUGUGCCCCGGUGGGAUUAGCUAGUAGGUGGGGUAAAGGCUCACCUAGGCGACGAUCCCUAGCUGGUCUGAGAGGAUGACCAGCCACACGGGAACUGAGCCACGGUCCGACCUCCUACGGGGGGCAGCAGUGGGGAAUAUUGGACAAUGGGCGAAAGCCUGAUGCAGCCAUGCCGCGGGUAUGAAGAAGGCCUUCGGGUUGUAAAGUACUUUCAGCGGGGAGUCGUUACCCGGAGAAGAAGCACCGGCUAACUCCGUGCCAGCAGCCGCGGUAAUAC